GGUUAAGCGACUAAGCGUACACGGUGGAUGCCCUGGCAGUCAGAGGCGAUGAAGGACGUGCUAAUCUGCGAUAAGCGUCGGUAAGGUGAUAUGAACCGUUAUAACCGGCGAUUUCCGAAUGGGGAAACCCAGUGUGUUUCGACACACUAUCAUUAACUGAAUCCAUAGGUUAAUGAGGCGAACCGGGGGAACUGAAACAUCUAAGUACCCCGAGGAAAAGAAAUCAACCGAGAUUCCCCCAGUAGCGGCGAGCGAACGGGGAGGAGCCCAGAGCCUGAAUCAGUGUGUGUGUUAGUGGAAGCGUCUGGAAAGGCGCGCGAUACAGGGUGACAGCCCCGUACACAAAAAUGCACAUGCUGUGAGCUCGAUGAGUAGGGCGGGACACGUGGUAUCCUGUCUGAAUAUGGGGGGACCAUCCUCCAAGGCUAAAUACUCCUGACUGACCGAUAGUGAACCAGUACCGUGAGGGAAAGGCGAAAAGAACCCCGGCGAGGGGAGUGAAAAAGAACCUGAAACCGUGUACGUACAAGCAGUGGGAGCACAGAGCAAUCUGUGUGACUGCGUACCUUUUGUAUAAUGGGUCAGCGACUUAUAUUCUGUAGCAAGGUUAACCGAAUAGGGGAGCCGAAGGGAAACCGAGUCUUAACUGGGCGUUAAGUUGCAGGGUAUAGACCCGAAACCCGGUGAUCUAGCCAUGGGCAGGUUGAAGGUUGGGUAACACUAACUGGAGGACCGAACCGACUAAUGUUGAAAAAUUAGCGGAUGACUUGUGGCUGGGGGUGAAAGGCCAAUCAAACCGGGAGAUAGCUGGUUCUCCCCGAAAGCUAUUUAGGUAGCGCCUCGUGAAUUCAUCUCCGGGGGUAGAGCACUGUUUCGGCAAGGGGGUCAUCCCGACUUACCAACCCGAUGCAAACUGCGAAUACCGGAGAAUGUUAUCACGGGAGACACACGGCGGGUGCUAACGUCCGUCGUGAAGAGGGAAACAACCCAGACCGCCAGCUAAGGUCCCAAAGUCAUGGUUAAGUGGGAAACGAUGUGGGAAGGCCCAGACAGCCAGGAUGUUGGCUUAGAAGCAGCCAUCAUUUAAAGAAAGCGUAAUAGCUCACUGGUCGAGUCGGCCUGCGCGGAAGAUGUAACGGGGCUAAACCAUGCACCGAAGCUGCGGCAGCGACACUGUGUGUUGUUGGGUAGGGGAGCGUUCUGUAAGCCUGUGAAGGUGUGCUGUGAGGCAUGCUGGAGGUAUCAGAAGUGCGAAUGCUGACAUAAGUAACGAUAAAGCGGGUGAAAAGCCCGCUCGCCGGAAGACCAAGGGUUCCUGUCCAACGUUAAUCGGGGCAGGGUGAGUCGACCCCUAAGGCGAGGCCGAAAGGCGUAGUCGAUGGGAAACAGGUUAAUAUUCCUGUACUUGGUGUUACUGCGAAGGGGGGACGGAGAAGGCUAUGUUGGCCGGGCGACGGUUGUCCCGGUUUAAGCGUGUAGGCUGGUUUUCCAGGCAAAUCCGGAAAAUCAAGGCUGAGRCGUGAUGACGAGGCACUACGGUGCUGAAGCAACAAAUGCCCUGCUUCCAGGAAAAGCCUCUAAGCAUCAGGUAACAUCAAAUCGUACCCCAAACCGACACAGGUGGUCAGGUAGAGAAUACCAAGGCGCUUGAGAGAACUCGGGUGAAGGAACUAGGCAAAAUGGUGCCGUAACUUCGGGAGAAGGCACGCUGAUAUGUAGGUGAAGUCCCUCGCGGAUGGAGCUGAAAUCAGUCGAAGAUACCAGCUGGCUGCAACUGUUUAUUAAAAACACAGCACUGUGCAAACACGAAAGUGGACGUAUACGGUGUGACGCCUGCCCGGUGCCGGAAGGUUAAUUGAUGGGGUCAGCGCAAGCGAAGCUCUUGAUCGAAGCCCCGGUAAACGGCGGCCGUAACUAUAACGGUCCUAAGGUAGCGAAAUUCCUUGUCGGGUAAGUUCCGACCUGCACGAAUGGCGUAAUGAUGGCCAGGCUGUCUCCACCCGAGACUCAGUGAAAUUGAACUCGCUGUGAAGAUGCAGUGUACCCGCGGCAAGACGGAAAGACCCCGUGAACCUUUACUAUAGCUUGACACUGAACAUUGAGCCUUGAUGUGUAGGAUAGGUGGGAGGCUUUGAAGUGUGGACGCAGUCUGCAUGGAGCCGACCUUGAAAUACUACCCUUAAUGUUUGAUGUUCUAACGUGGACCCGUGAUCCGGGUUGCGGACAGUGUCUGGUGGGUAGUUUGACUGGGGCGGUCUCCUCCUAAAGAGUAACGGAGGAGCACGAAGGUUGGCUAAUCCUGGUCGGACAUCAGGAGGUUAGUGCAAUGGCAUAAGCCAGCUUGACUGCGAGCGUGACGGCGCGAGCAGGUGCGAAAGCAGGUCAUAGUGAUCCGGUGGUUCUGAAUGGAAGGGCCAUCGCUCAACGGAUAAAAGGUACUCCGGGGAUAACAGGCUGAUACCGCCCAAGAGUUCAUAUCGACGGCGGUGUUUGGCACCUCGAUGUCGGCUCAUCACAUCCUGGGGCUGAAGUAGGUCCCAAGGGUAUGGCUGUUCGCCAUUUAAAGUGGUACGCGAGCUGGGUUUAGAACGUCGUGAGACAGUUCGGUCCCUAUCUGCCGUGGGCGCUGGAGAACUGAGGGGGGCUGCUCCUAGUACGAGAGGACCGGAGUGGACGCAUCACUGGUGUUCGGGUUGUCAUGCCAAUGGCACUGCCCGGUAGCUAAAUGCGGAAGAGAUAAGUGCUGAAAGCAUCUAAGCACGAAACUUGCCCCGAGAUGAGUUCUCCCUGACCCUUUAAGGGUCCUGAAGGAACGUUGAAGACGACGACGUUGAUAGGCCGGGUGUGUAAGCGCAGCGAUGCGUUGAGCUAACCGGUACUAAUGAACCGUGAGGCUUAACCUUACAACGCCGAAGGUGUUUUG
rnacentral:rRNA from 1 species